GCCCCGCACACAACCGAAUGACGUAGUUAGCUCAUAGAUUACUCGGCCUGUGUGCCACGUAGGUUUGGUAGUUUUUAGGGUCAACAGAUAUAUAAAAUGUUUACAAGAUAAUUGUUUACAAGAAAGUGUUUUCAAGGAAGUGUUUACAAGGAUGUUAUGAAGGCUAUGGAUGUUUGGAGAUGGUGUGAGUAUAUGGUGAGAGUAGAGUGUGCAGGUGUUGAGAUGUUGAUGUAUGUUUAUACAAUGAAGGAAACUUUUCUAAUAUAGACUGAGUGAGAAUAUUCUCCUCUUUAAAAAAUUAAAAUCUUUACAGAUGUAUGGUAUGGACAUCUCCUUGGUACUGUCAUCUUUUACUGUUGCUGAAAUUGUCAGCACUGUUUCUGAAACGUGAUAUGACUUAUUUGUCUUGUUUUUGCUUUGCAUGUGAACUUGCUUGUCUUCUUUUGCUUUGUCUUGAUAAAUGCAUGUAAGCUUGCUGCAUGACUAUCCCUUGGAGUCCCUUUUUGCUUUUAUUUUGAACAUGCAUGUGAUUUUUCUGAAAUGGUUUUCUUCCACUUCCUUGUCUUCUUUCCCAUACCCAAUUUGGGUAUUAUUAAAAAAUUUGUCGUGAUGGUUAAAAUGAAACAUUUGAGGGUGUUUUGGUUAGUUUUCCACAAAAACAAUACUAUUAAAAAUCCUUGCUUUUUCCUUUUUGUUUUUCACCUUACCUUGGGUAUGUGUGUGUACAUAUAUAUAUAUAUAUAUAUAUAUAUAUAUAUAUAUAUAUAUAUAUUUUAACAAAUGAUAUUAUCUACAUUAAAAAUGUGGGAUAUCAAUAAUGUGAUUCUAAUUCACAUUUAGCGAUAAUCAAACUUAAGACCUCUCAUUUACAAGUAAAAAGGAAUACCAAUAAACCGUAAUACUGACAUCUCUUACCUUAUGUUUUUAUGUCUAAAUACCAAGGUUCUAAAAAUCGCUAGGCGCUAGUCGGGCGG
rnacentral:lncRNA from 1 species